GUUUCUGUAGUUGAAUAACAACGGUGGUUUUUCAAGUCACUGGUCCUGGUUAGAAUCCUGGUGGAAAUU
rnacentral:tRNA from 2 species